CCUACGGGAGGCAGCAGUAGGGAAUUUUCCACAAUGGGCGAAAGCCUGAUGGAGCAAUACCGCGUGCAGGAUGAAGGCCUUCGGGUCGUAAACUGCUUUUAUGUGCGAAGAAUUUGACGGUAACACAUGAAUAAGGAUCGGCUAACUACGUGCCAGCAGCCGCGGUCAUACGUAGGAUCCAAGCGUUAUCCGGAAUUACUGGGCGUAAAGAGUUGCGUAGGUGGCAUUAUAAGUGGAGCGUGAAAGCGUGCGGCUCAACCGCACUAUUGCGUUCCAAACUGUGAAGCUUGAGUAUGGGAGAGGUAGAUGGAAUUUCUAGUGUAGGAGUGAAAUCCGUAGAUAUUAGAAGGAACACCGAUGGCGUAGGCAGUCUACUGGCCCAUUACUGACACUAAGGCACGAAAGCGUGGGGAGCAAACGGGAUUAGAUACCCCGGUAGUCCACGCUGUAAACUAUGGAUGCUAGCUGUGACACACAUCGACCUGUGUCGUAGCGAAGUUAACGCGUUAAGCAUCCCGCCUGGGGAUACGGUCGCAAGAUUAAAACUCAAAUGAAUUGACGG
rnacentral:rRNA from 1 species